rnacentral:rRNA from 1 species
GAUGAACGCUGGCGGCGUGCCUAAUACAUGCAAGUCGAGCGAACAGACGAGGAGCUUGCUCCUCUGACGUUAGCGGCGGACGGGUGAGUAACACGUGGAUAACCUACCUAUAAGACUGGGAUAACUUCGGGAAACCGGAGCUAAUACCGGAUAAUAUAUUGAACCGCAUGGUUCAAUAGUGAAAGACGGUUUUGCUGUCACUUAUAGAUGGAUCCGCGCCACAUUAGCUAGUUGGUAAGGUAACGGCUUACCAAGGCGACGAUGCGUAGCCGACCUGAGAGGGUGACCAGCCACACUGGAACUGAGACACGGCCCAGACUCCUACGGGAGGCAGCAGUAGGGAAUUUUCCGCAAUGGGCGCAAGCCUGACGGAGCAACGCCGCGUGAGUGAUGAAGGUCUUCGGAUCGUAAAACUCUGUUAUUAGGGAAGAACAACUGUGUACGUAAAUACGCACGUCUUGACGGUACCUAAUCAGAAAGCCACGGCUAACUACGUG